rnacentral:tRNA from 1 species
GAGAGAGGUCCGACGACAACAAAAACUGCUAAUUCUUGCCCCCUUGGUUAAACCCCAAGGCUCACUCG